GAUGAACGCUGGCGGCGUGCUUAACACAUGCAAGUCGAACGGGAUCCAUCAGGCUUUGCUUGGUGGUGAGAGUGGCGAACGGGUGAGUAAUGCGUGACCGACCUGCCCCAUACACCGGAAUAGCUCCUGGAAACGGGUGGUAAUGCCGGAUGCUCCGACUCCUCGCAUGGGGUGUCGGGAAAGAUUUCAUCGGUAUGGGAUGGGGUCGCGUCCUAUCAGGUAGUCGGCGGGGUAACGGCCCACCGAGCCUACGACGGGUAGCCGGCCUGAGAGGGCGACCGGCCACAUUGGGACUGAGAUACGGCCCAGACUCCUACGGGAGGCAGCAGUGGGGAAUAUUGCACAAUGGGCGCAAGCCUGAUGCAGCGACGCCGCGUGCGGGAUGACGGCCUUCGGGUUGUAAACCGCUUUUGAUCGGGAGCAAGCCUUCGGGUGAGUGUACCUUUCGAAUAAGCACCGGCUAACUACGUGCCAGCAGCCGCGGUAAUACGUAGGGUGCAAGCGUUAUCCGGAAUUAUUGGGCGUAAAGGGCUCGUAGGCGGUUCGUCGCGUCCGGUGUGAAAGUCCAUCGCUUAACGGUGGAUCUGCGCCGGGUACGGGCGGGCUGGAGUGCGGUAGGGGAGACUGGAAUUCCCGGUGUAACGGUGGAAUGUGUAGAUAUCGGGAAGAACACCAAUGGCGAAGGCAGGUCUCUGGGCCGUUACUGACGCUGAGGAGCGAAAGCGUGGGGAGCGAACAGGAUUAGAUACCCUGGUAGUCCACGCCGUAAACGGUGGAUGCUGGAUGUGGGGCCCGUUCCACGGGUUCCGUGUCGGAGCUAACGCGUUAAGCAUCCCGCCUGGGGAGUACGGCCGCAAGGCUAAAACUCAAAGAAAUUGACGGGGGCCCGCACAAGCGGCGGAGCAUGCGGAUUAAUUCGAUGCAACGCGAAGAACCUUACCUGGGCUUGACAUGUUCCCGACAGCCGUAGAGAUAUGGCCUCCCUUCGGGGCGGGUUCACAGGUGGUGCAUGGUCGUCGUCAGCUCGUGUCGUGAGAUGUUGGGUUAAGUCCCGCAACGAGCGCAACCCUCGCCCUGUGUUGCCAGCACGUCAUGGUGGGAACUCACGGGGGACCGCCGGGGUCAACUCGGAGGAAGGUGGGGAUGACGUCAGAUCAUCAUGCCCCUUACGUCCAGGGCUUCACGCAUGCUACAAUGGCCGGUACAACGGGAUGCGACACGGCGACGUGGAGCGGAUCCCUGAAAACCGGUCUCAGUUCGGAUUGGAGUCUGCAACCCGACUCCAUGAAGGCGGAGUCGCUAGUAAUCGCGGAUCAGCAACGCCGCGGUGAAUGCGUUCCCGGGCCUUGUACACACCGCCCGUCAAGUCAUGAAAGUGGGUAGCACCCGAAGCCGGUGGCCUAACCCUUUGUGGAUGGA
rnacentral:rRNA from 1 species